rnacentral:rRNA from 1 species
AAUCAACGCUGGCGGCGUGCCUCAGACAUGCAAGUCGAACGAUUAAAGCUCUCUUCGGAGAGUGCAUAAAGUGGCGCACGGGUGAGUAACACGUAAGUAAUCUACCUUCGAGUGGGGAAUAACGUCCGGAACGGACGCUAAUACCGCAUAACGCAGCGGCAUCGCAAGAUGACAGUUGUUAAAGAUUUAUCGCUUGAAGAGGAGCUUGCGGCAGAUUAGCUUGUUGGUAAGGUAACGGCUUACCAAGGCUACGAUCUGUAACCGGUCUAAGAGGACGGUCGGUCACACUGACACUGAAUAACGGGUCAGACUCCUACGGGAGGCAGCAGUC